CUGCUCCACUUCCAAUCCAGCUCCCUGCUAAUGUGCCUGGGAAAGCUGCGAAAGAUGACCCAGAUGCUUAGGCUGCUUCUCCCACAGUGUAGACCCAGAAAGCUCCUGGUUCCUGCUUCCACCUGGCACUUCCCUUGCCAUUGUGGCUAUUUGAGAAGUGAACCAGCAGAUGUAAGACCUCUCUCUUUGUAUCUCUGUCUCUCUCUCUCUCCCUCUCCCUCUCCCCUUCUACUCUGUGUGUCUGUGUGUGUGUGUGCAUGUCUUGUCUGUUUGUCUGUCUGUAUUCCUCCCUCUCUCUCUGUAACUCUACCUUUCAAAAAAAUAAAUCUUUUUUGCCAGCGCCGCGGCUCACUAGGCUAAUCCUCUGCCUUCGGCACUGGCACACCAGGUUCUAGUCCCGGUAGGGGCGCCAGAUUCUGUCCCAGUUGCCCCACUUCCAGGCCAGCUCUCUGCUGUGGCCAGGGAGUGCAGUGGAGGAUGGCCCAAAUCCUUGGGCCCUGCACCCUGGGAGACCAGGAUAAGUACCUAGCUCCUGCCAUCUGAUCAACGCAGGGUGCCAGCCGCAGCACGCCGGCCACGGCGGCCAUUGGAGGGUGAACCAAUGGCAAAGGAAGACCUUUCUCUCUGUCUCUCUCACUGUCCACUCUGCCUGUCAAAAAAUAAAAUAAAAUAAUCAAAAAAUAAACCUUUUUAAAAAGCCUAGAACUCCACCCAGGUCUACCACAGGGGUUGCAGGUGCCCAGGUACUUGGAUCAUAUGCCGCUGGUUUCUCAGGUGUGUUAGUAGGGAGCUGGCUUGGAGCCAGGGCUUGAACAGGCACUUCAAGUAUGGGAUGCUGGCAUCAUAAGCAGUGUCUUAGCCCGCUGUGCCAUACACCAGUCCCCAGAACCAAGCUUUCUUUCUCCCUCCAAAUCUGAUAUCAGUGAAGUAAAGGAGUUUUGCUUGUCCUCAGAGAGGUGUCACAGACUUUUGUCAAACUUGGUUCACUGGGUGUGGUGAUAAAUAAUCUGCACGUGUGUUGAUGUGUUUUAUCAAGCUGAUGAGAGCCCUUGUACUCAGCUAAAGGCUGCUGGGGACCAUGUGCUAAUGGGGUGGACAUGCAGAACCAGUGACAGCCAGGUUACUCAUCAACAGAGAAAGUGUCUACACAAUGCCUCUUUAGUGGGGCAACGAGACCCAAAACAUCACCCUCACCCGUGGCCAGGAAGGGCAGGGGACACAGGCACAGCCCCCUGGGUGGCCACCCCUGGUCACAGUGCCUGAGCUGGAUGAGCUCAUAAUGCAGGUAGCGUCCAUGCCAGGGCUCUGCCGGGCCGGAGACAGAGGUACCAGGAAGAGUUCUCCAUCCGGAGGGCUUCCAGUGGGGGCUGUGAAUGCCAGGAUGGUGGGAGCCCUCUCUCCUGGGAAGGGAGCCUGUGUCUGAGUUGGAGUCCAAGGGACAGAGAUAUGCAAAUAUCGCGGUUUUCCAGUCCUGAAACAUUGAUAAGGUCUGAUAGAGUCAGAGGCACGGCGCUUGGCGGGUAGCGAGGAAGACUUUGGUGACGUAAGCAGAACGUGGUCCACGCCUCCGUCUCCGAGGGGAAAGGCAGGCGCAGCAUCAGACACGGGUGGCAGUGAGUCCCAGCGGGACAGACAGUCUUGGGUGGAAAUAAAGAGUUACUAGAUACUGUAA